UCAAGGAAGAAGCUCUUGCUCCACCAUCAGCACCCAAAGCUGAAAUUCUUCUUAAACUAUUCCCUG
rnacentral:tRNA from 2 species